UACGGGGGGGAGCAAGCGUUGUUCGGAUUUACUGGGCGUAAAGGGCGCGUAGGCGGUCGUGACAAGUCACUUGUGAAAUCUCCGGGCUUAACUCGGAACGGUCAAGUGAUACUGUCGGACUAGAGUACAGAAGGGGCAACUGGAAUUCCCGGUGUAGAGGUGAAAUUCGUAGAUAUCGGGAGGAAUACCAGUGGCGAAGGCGGCGACCUGGGCCAAUACUGACGCUGAGGUGGCGAAAAGCGGUGGGGAGCAAACAGG
rnacentral:rRNA from 1 species